AGCAGCCGCGGUAAUUCCAGCUCCAAUAGCGUAUAUUAAAGUUGUUGCAGUUAAAAAGCUCGUAGUUGAAUUUCGGGAUCAAUAUGUUGGUCGUGCCUCGGUACGUACUAGCUUAUUGGUUUCUCCCUUCUGAAGAACCAUGAUGUCAUUUAUUUGGUGUCGUGGGGAAUCAGGACUGUUACUUUGAAAAAAUUAGAGUGUUUAAAGCAGGCUCACGCUUGAAUACAUUAGCAUGGAAUAAUGAAAUAGGACGUUUGAUUCUAUUUUGCUGGUUUUUAGGAUCGACGUAAUGAUUAAUAGGGAUAGUUGGGGGCAUUAGUAUUCAAUUGUCAGAGGUGAAAUUCUUGGAUUUAUUGAAGACUAACUACUGCGAAAGCAUUUGCCAAGGAUGUUUUCAUUAAUCAAGAACGAAAGUUAGGGGAUCGAAGACGAUCAGAUACCGUCGUAGUCUUAACCAUAAACUAUGCCGACUAGGGAUCGGAUGAUGUUAAUUUUUUAAUGACUCAUUCGGCGCCUUACG
rnacentral:misc_RNA from 1 species